rnacentral:rRNA from 1 species
GUCUAUGGCCAUACCACCCUGAACAUGCCUGAUCUUGGAAGCCAAGCAGGGUCAGGCCUGGUUAGUACUUGGAUGGAAGACCUCCUAGGAAUACUGGGGGCAGUAGCUU